rnacentral:rRNA from 1 species
CGGAACACGUACAGAACCUCCCUUUAAGUGGUGAAUAGCCCAGAGAAAUUUGGAUUAAUACACCGUAACAUAUAGAAGUGGCAUCACUUUUAUAUUAUAGCUCCGGCGCUUGAAGAUGGCUGUGCGGCUGAUUAGGUAGUUGGCGGGGUAACGGCCCACCAAGCCUUCGAUCAGUAACUGGUGUGAGAGCACGACCAGUCACACGGGCACUGAGACACGGGCCCG